rnacentral:rRNA from 1 species
AGUGAACGCUGGCGGCGUGCUUAACACAUGCAAGUCGAACGAGAACGGAUUAUAGCUUGCUAUAAUUGUCAGCUAAGUGGCGCACGGGUGAGUAAUGUAUAGGUAAUAUGCCUCUUACUAAGGGAUAACAAUUGGAAACGAUUGCUAAUACCUUAUACUCCUUGUUAACUUAAGUUAAUAAGGGAAAGAUUUAUUGGUAAGAGAUUAGCCUGUAUUGUAUCAGUUAGUUGGUGGGGUAAUGGCCUACCAAGACUAUGACACAUAACUGGUUUGAGAGGAUGAUCAGUCACACUGGAACUGAGACACGGUCCAGACUCCUACGGGAGGCAGCAGUGGGGAAUAUUGCACAAUGGACGAAAGUCUGAUGCAGCAACGCCGCGUGGAGGAUGACACAUUUCGGUGCGUAAACUCCUUUUAUAUGAGAAGAUAAUGACGGUAUUAUAUGAAUAAGCACCGGCUAACUCCGUGCCAGCAGCCGCGGUAAUACGGGGGGUGCAAGCGUUACUCGGAAUCACCGGGCGUAAAGAGCAUGUAGGCGGAUUAAUAAGUUUGAAGUGGAAUCCUAUAGCUUAACUAUAGAACUGCUUUGAAAACUGUUAAUCUAGAAUGUGGGAGAGGUAGAUGGAAUUUCUGGUGUAGGGGUAAAAUCCGUAGAGAUCAGAAGGAAUACCGAUUGCGAAGGCGAUCUACUGGAACAUUAUUGACGCUGAGAUGCGAAAGCGUGGGGAGCAAACAGGAUUAGAUACCCUGGUAGUCCACGCCCUAAACGAUGUACACUAGUUGUUGUGAGACUUGAUCUUGCAGUAAUGCAGUUAACACAUUAAGUGUACCGCCUGGGGAGUACGGUCGCAAGAUUAAAACUCAAAGGAAUAGACGGGGACCCGCAC